UAGGGAUUGACUAUAGAUCGGGCC
rnacentral:siRNA from 1 species